UGAUAAUUUGACUACUCCAAAAACAGCAACUGCAACUAAAUUAUCAGUUUGUUUAUUAUUUUCCAUCAAGGUAUCAUUAACCAAGGAAUAAAUAUAAGAAAUAAUAUAAGAGAUUAAUGGUAAGGAAAUAAUUACUUUAUAUUUUCUCUUUAUAUUGAAUCUUUUAGAUAAUUGGUGACAGACUUGUUUUUUUCUUCCACCUAGGGGAAUAAAUCCCUUCAGAGUAUGUGUGCAUCUGAUUGAAGUGCUUCUAGACUUUGGUCCUUUGGAAGAAAAACGAUGAGUUUCUGGAAUAUAUCUCUAAAGAGAAAGGA
rnacentral:lncRNA from 12 species